ensembl:rRNA 5S ribosomal RNA
GUCUACAGCCAUACCACCCUGAAUGCCCCCGAUCUCAUCUGAUCUCGGAAGCUAAGCAGGGUCGGGCCUGGUUAGUACUUGGAUGGGAGACCGCCUAAGAAUACCGGGUGCUGUAGGCU